ensembl:rRNA 5S_rRNA 5S ribosomal RNA
GACUACAGCCAUACCAGCCUGAAUGUGCCCAUUCCUAUCUGAUCUCCAAGUCCAAGCAGGGCUGAGCCUGAUUAGCACUUGGAUGGGGACCACCUGGGAAUACUGGGUGUGUUAAGCU